GCCUCUUGGACUGGGACAACUGUUGGAAACGACAGCUAAUACCGGAUAUUAUGAGAUUCUCGCAUGAGAAACUUAUGAAAGCUAUAUGCGCCAAGAGAGAGCCUUGCGUUCCAUUAGCUAGUUGGUGGGGUAAUGGCCCACCAAGGCGACGAUGGAUAGCCGGCCUGAGAGGGUGAACGGCCACAAGGGGACUGAGACACGGCCCUUACUCCUACGGGAGGCAGCAGUGGGGAAUAUUGGACAAUGGGCCACAAGCCUGAUCCAGCAAUUCUGUGUGCACGAUGAAGGUCUUCGGAUUGUAAAGUGCUUUCAGUUGGGAAGAAGAAAGUGACGGUACCAACAGAAGAAGCGACGGCUAAAUACGUGCCAGCAGCCGCGGUAAUACGUAUGUCGCAAGCGUUAUCCGGAUUUAUUGGGCGUAAAGCGCGUCUAGGCGGAAAAAUAAGUCUGAUGUUAAAAUGCGGGGCUCAACUCCGUAUUGCGUUGGAAACUGUUUUUCUAGAGUACUGGAGAGGUGGGCGGAACUACAAGUGUAGAGGUGAAAUUCGUAGAUAUUUGUAGGAAUGCCGAUGGAGAAGUCAGCUCACUGGACAGAUACUGACGCUGAAGCGCGAAAGCGUGGGGAGCAAACAGGA
rnacentral:rRNA from 1 species